AUUAGAAACCUUCUAUUUUUUCUUUCCAAUUUCGCAAUGCAGCUCUGUCACUAUGCAAAAACCACACACCCGACUCCCCAACUUAAUUUUGAGCCGUCUAUAUCUCCGUCAAAAUCGUAAGCGAUCUCCGACAUGCAAAACUGUUCCAAUAGGAGACGAUGAUGACCAAAAAGAGAGAGAUGCAACCACCUAGCACAAACUCGAAGGGAAAACGUGGCUGAAAUCUAAAGAUAAUCAGAUCCAAAAAGAAAAGAGAAAGAGCCCAAGUGGGAGUUUUUCCAUGGCAGAAAACUACGGCGCAUGCCCUCAUGAAGAAUCUAAGGCUCAUGGUGUGUUUGUGUUUAUUUUUUUAUUUUUUUUUAUUUUUGAGGCUGGUUACUG